UACAGAGGUCUCAAGCGUUGUUCGGAUUCAUUGGGCGUAAAGGGUGCGUAGGCGGCGCGGUAAGUCGGGUGUGAAAGUCUCGGAGCUUAACUCCGAACUGCAUUCGAUACUGCCGUGCUUGAGGACUGGAGAGGAGACUGGAAUUACGGUGUAGCUGGUGAAAUGCGUAGAUAUCGUAAGGAAGACCAGUGGCGGAAGGCGGGUCUCUGGACAGUUCCUGACGCUGAGGCACGAAGGCCAGGGAGCAAACGGG
rnacentral:rRNA from 1 species